rnacentral:lncRNA from 12 species
UGAGGUGGGGAUCCCUGGGUGGCUCAGCAGUUUGGUGCCUGCCUUCAGCUUGGGGUGUGAUCCUGGAGACCCGGGACGGAGUCCCACAUUGGGCUCCCUGUGUGGAGCCUGCUUCUCCCUUUGCCUGUGUCUCUGUCUCUCUCUCUCUCUGUGUCUCUCAUGAAUGAAUAAAUAAGAUCUUUAAAAAAAUUUUAAAAAUGCCUAUGAGGGUUGCAGUGGGUAAUGCAGGUGGAAUACAAUAGGGAGCGGUGAGGACUUUGGAGCACUAGUGAGUUUCCACCUGCAUAAACGGAGCAGCUACAGCUUCUGCCUCUGCUGAUGUCUACCAUGCUGGAUUGUGGGCCUAGUUUGUCUGAUCUUUUGAAUUUUAUGUAAAUAAGGACUGUGGAUUUUUUUUUUUUUUUAAGUAGGCUCCAUGUCCAGGGUGGAGCCCAACAUAGGGCUUGAACUUGUGACCUUGAGAUCAAGACCUGAGCUGAGAUCAAGAGUCAGAUAUUCAACCAACUGAACUACCCAGGUGUUCCCAGGACUCUGGAUUUCUUAAAGGCUGCGUGAAAGCAGAUUCUGCUGAAUUGCUACCUGGGCAUUAAAAAACAGAACAAAAAAGCUUCCACAGAGGAUUACUGACUUAGCUCUGGGCCUAAGACCAAUGAAGACCACGAGAACCGCUCUUUCUGUGACGCGUUUCCUCACUCUGCCACAAAUUGCAACAGGGAACAUGAGAUAAAGAAGAGGAACCUCAACGGAAAGGACCAAGUUAAGGGUGGAUGUAAACAGCAGGUUUGCCACAAGGUGACUAGAAAGCAGCCCAAGGGGCACCUGGGUGGCUUAGCGGUCGAGUAUCUGCCUUCAGCUCAGGUCGUGGUCGUGAUCCUGGUGUCCUGGAAUCGAGUUCUACAUCAGGCUCCCCACAGGGAGAGAGCCUGCUUCUCCUUCUGCUUAUGCCUCUGCCUGUGUCUGUAUGUCUCUCAUGAAUAAAGUCUUAAAAAAAGAAAGAAAGAAAUCAGCUCUAGAAGGGCAAGCUGAUGUGGUUAGAUCUAGCUGGGAGGAGGGAAAUCCUUCUGUCCUUAUGGGGGUGACUCUGGGAGAUCAUGCAGGGGGCACUCCCCUUUGACUUAAUCCCCAAAGGAUAGACUCCUGGAUAUCAGGGCAGAAUUUUACUGCCAGAUCUUUCUAGAAGAAUCUGCCCUGGAGUCUAUUGACCUGACACCAGCUUUACAGUAAAGCUGGAGUCUGAACUUGUUAAUGAAGUGUGAUUAGUAGGAACAGUAGCAUUUGGAGCCACUCAUGUUACAGCUGAAUUGGCAUCAUUUUCUCCACUUUAAAUAUUUAAAUAUUUCUCCACUUUAAAUAUCACUCUGGGUUUAAUUUACUGCUGAUGCCAUUCUUAACUUUGAGCUUGGGGUCCUAGCCCUUCCCUAGGACAGACGUAAAUCCCCCCAGCAUUGCUUUAUCUGCACCUCACCCAACAUUGCCAUGUGGUUUGGAAAAAAGAGAAGCAAAAGGCAGGAGUGUGAGUUUUAACUUAGUUCUUGCCAUGGGCAAGUCAUUUACCACCUAAGUACUGUGAUCUCUGAAAUGAAGGGAGCUAGAGAGUGGUUCCCAAGGCCUAGUCUGUAUAACCCAACUGCUGUAAGUCAUUGGUUGGUGGAUGAUUGGAAGGAGGCUUUGAUUCCCCACAUUUCCAGCCUGCCCCCAGGAAGUCCUCAGGCAAAGAAAUGCAGGUAAAUGCAAGCUCUGAAGUGGUAAUAAGGCCUGAGGGCAUAUGAGCUGUACUGGUGGUAUAAAAUUCUCUAAUGUUAUGCAUGUAGGAUGUUGUCAAUUUUUAUAUUGAAAAUAAUUGUCCAAUUGAACAAAAGUUUAAUUUAUUAUUAUUGUUGCUGAUAUUAUUUGAUAUUUAGUGUUAUUUCCACAUCAUGUGUCCUGAAAUAGAAUUACCUGGCCAAAGAAUCCUUUAAACCUGUAAUAGUUAAGACACUGGUUAAGUUGUUGAAAGUUAAUUCUAGAAUACAGCAAGACUCCAAAAAUAUAGUGACCUAACAAAGAAGGAAGUUUACUUUUCUUUCACAUAAGAGACCAGAGUCAAGUGGUCCAGGGCCUGAGGGACAACACUGCCUUGUUCUCACCAAUUUCCACCUCUGGUCCUGGAUGGCUGUUCUGGCUCUUGUCAUGUUCCAUGUUCUGGCUCUUGUCAUGUUCCUUCCACAAGGGAGGAACAUGGCAAGAGCCUACAUGUGCCUUCCUUAGUAGGGCAUGACCCAGAAGUGGCACAUAUUUUUCUGCUCACAUCUCACUGGUAGGACUCAGUCACAUGGCUACAUAUGAAGCUGCCAGGCUGUAAAAUGUAUUUUGUGGCUUGGCUAUGUGCCUAAUUAAAAUUGGGGGGUUUGUUUUAAAGAUGGAGAGAAUGAUUAUUGGUAAGUAGCCAUAUUCUCUGCCAGAAGACUCAUGCCAAAUUAUUUUCCAAAAUGAUUUGUGCUACAGUUCAGUUUCACCAAAAUUGCAUGGGCAUGCCAGCUUUUUAAAAAUUUUUUAAAAAAGAUUUUAUUGAUUUUAUUUUAGAGAGAGAGCACAAGUGAGCCAUGGGAAGAGUGGGGGAGGGGGGAGAGGGAGAGAAUCUCAAGCAGACUCCAUGCUGAGUUUGGAGCCCAGUGAGGGGCUCCAUCUCAUGACCUUGAGAUCAUGAUCUGAGCUGAAAUCAAGAGUCAGAAGCUCAACCAACUGAGCCAUCCGGGUGCCCCAGGCAUGCCGAUUUAACAAGUGUUUAUUAAGGAUCUUUUUUUUGUGUAAAACAUCAAGAAACCAUAGAGAUAUUGAUGGAAAAGAUGCAGGAUGCGGUUCUGUACAUAGGAAACAUCUAGAGACAGGGAUUAGUUUAGGUACUGAAGCAUAUGAUUCAGACCCUGCCUGUCAUGGAAAGGACUGGUGAAAUUGGAGCAUGCAAGAGUUGGUGGUGAAUGAGGAAGAGGUAAAUUUAGGUGGAGUUUGUGAGAUGAUGUUGCUCAUCACCUCUUGAAUGUUUCUGUUCAUAGGGCCAGGGGUCACUAAAGUUAGUGCUCACUCAACCUUCAAUGCCAUCUAGCCAACUCUAACAUUUUAUUAAAUCUUUCUACUGCCAAUAAGUAACAAAAGAGUAGGGUUUUGAAAUGUACCUCCUUUUCCUGGUUGAGGGAGGGAUAUUGAGUGGAGUAAAGGAAUCAAAGGGGCAGCAAGGAAAAGAAAACUCAAGCAUGUUAGAGGAGGUGAAGGCUAUUUACAGAUUCUGGGAAUGCAGGUCUUCUAGCUGCUGAGGGUGUGUCCUCCCACCAUGCCACAUGGCAUCCUCUGUGGACAGUGAGGUCUCUAAAGAUUGAUUCAAGGGCCUAGGUACUAAAUAUCUUUAACCAGAACUAUCCCCUCUGGGUCCUUUUUCUUCAUGCUCCACAAGUUGGAGAAAGGAAGGAACUAGUACAGUACUUGGAUGACUGGCUGGAAUGAAGUAAUAUAUCUAUUGAUGGUACAGGCAGCUGAAGUUCUAACUAUGAACAAGCUUUGUCAAAAUUGGGAAUAAGAAUCAUUUUUGCUCCACCUCUCCUAGAAUUUCCAUCUCUUUGCCAAUCUUCAUUAGUAUUCCCACAGUGUUCCACUCCCUCUUCUCCAAAAUGUGUCGUAUUUGGUAGUAUCUCAUAUUCCCCAUUUUUCUCUUCUUACUAUCUUACCCUACUGUGAAUGAUUUUUGUUCUACUUUCUUAUUACAUUUUCUGGAGUCUAAGCCUAUCUUCUCAUUACUCUUUUUUUUUUUAAGAUUUUAUUUAUUUAUUCAUGAAAGACACAGAAGGAGAGAGACAGAGAGACACAGGCAGAGGGAGAAGCAGGCUCCAUGCAGGGAGCCCAACAUGGGACUCGAUCCUGGGUCUCCAGGAUCAUGCCCUGGGCUGAAGGCGAUGCUAAACCACUAAGCCACCAGGGCUGCCCUCAUUACUCUUUUUAAAGAUUUUAUUUAUUUAUUCACGAGAGACACAAAGAGAGAGGCAGAGACACAGGCAGAGGGAGAAGCAGGCUCCCCAUGGAGAGCCCGAUGUGAGACUUGAUCCUGGGAUCCAGGAUCAUGCUCUGAGCCAAAGGUAGAUGCUCAACCACUGAGCCACCCAGGCGUCCCUCAUUACUCUUUCAUUCCCCCAUCCCUCCAUCUAUCCUGUCAUCCAUCCGUCCAUCCAUCCAUUCAACCAUUCAGGUAAACUAAUUCAAACUACAGUCUUAAUGGCUUUAAAAGUUUUAACUUUAGGUUUUCUUCAGUUGAAUGAGUUUCUGGCAUAACAAGCUAAUGGGAUAGAUAUCUGGGGAGGAACAUACGUGAGUUUAACAAUCUAAUAUCCUUUGCUUCAUCAUAGAACUAGUCAGCUUAGAUCUGUUGUGUCAGGGCAAAAGCAAAUUCGAAGAUGAUUCUGCUCAGUUCAAAGUCACUUCUGCUUAAUUGUUGUCAUUACAGAAUGUGAAAUAAACCUGCAGCCAUGGUCA